GCCAAGGCCGGGUGGGGAGCUCGGGCUCCAGUGAGCACGAAGCUCCGCGCCAGUGGGUGAAGCAAGUUGUCUCCGGGGCCGGGAGGACACCGGUGAGGACCCGGCACCAAUCAGAGCGUGGACGCCAAAUUCCUGACUCACCAUUUUAGCUUUGGAAGACGCAAAUCCAGCCCAAUAGUUUACAGACGAUUUGUUCUUCCUUCCAAGCCUUCCUUCCAAGCAAGGCUCUGUGCUCUGCAUGUUUCUGAUCAACUGCCCCAGAAAGGACGGUUGAGUGAGAGGAUAACCCUGUUCCUUUGGCCCUUUCGUGCUGGACGAAUAAAGGAACUUUCAUUGCUGAGAACUGCAAGAAGGUGCUUCAGAUGGAGGAGGAAACCGCUAAACCAGAGGUUUUGUGUCCCCCGCCCAUCUUGAUGUAUGGUGUAAAUCUAGUUCAAAUAUCUACCCGUACCCCCAGUCCAAGCCUUAGGUAAUUGGUCUUUUGCAAAACAAGGCUCAAGAUAAAUGAUGCAUAAAGUUCUUUGAGAUCCCUGGA